GAGUGAAGCACUGCGGAACGAAGGCAACCUUGACUGAAUUACGGUCGCGGUUUUGGAUAGUUAGAGGCCGACAGUACAUACGAAGCGUCAUCUAUCAAUGCGUCGUCUGCCGAAAACAAGAAGGAGAACCCUACCGUGCGCCACCACCUCCUCCAUUGCCAGAAUGUCGCGUGAAAGAGGACUUUCCGUUCGCUAACACUGGCGUAGAUUUCGCUGGACCGUUAUAUGUAAAGAAUCCUGAUUCGAAGGUAUGGAUCUCAUUGUACACAUGUUGUGUGACUCGAGCGGUACACCUCGACCUGGUGCCUGAUAUGUCAACCGAAGCCUUUCUAAGAAACUUUCAGAGAUUUUGCGCUAGAAGAGGAGUACCAUCACUGGUUAUAUCAGACAAUGCAAAAACCUUCAAAUUGGC